GCACGCGCAGACAGCCCAGGCCGUGAGAGGUUGCUCCAGUCUGUGCUCUCUGACCGUAGUCAGUAGUCACGGCGUUAGAUUUUUGCGGUUUUUGAUCUGGAAGCCACACAUCCUUAGCUUAAUUUCCACGUAUCUUCCAGACCCAGCCACCAACGUCAGGGCAGGUGUGCUUUUUUUUUCCCGAGGCAGAGCAUCUGCCCCAUCCCCCAAAAUUGUCUCUAGGCGUCCGCUCUGUGUUGGGCACCAUAGGAAGCGCUGGGAAUGCGCACGAUAAUUAAAGUCGUCACUAAGAGUAAUGUAGUACACAUCAAGUGCUCAAGUGUGCCAUAUUCUGUGUGAUCUGCUUUACAUGCAGUAUCUCUGUUAAUGGUCAGUCUUAAAAAUUAAUGAAUUGUCGGUUAAAAUACCAUUUAGUUUUCCUUCCAUAAAAUGGAGACGAUACCAUUAAAAAUUAAAAAUUAAAUGGUACUGUCUCUAUUUUGUAGAAGGGAAACUGAAGUUCACAAACUGUAAAUAAUUUUCCCAAGAUCACAGAGCUAGUAAAUAUUAAAGCUAGAAUUCCUAUCUAGAUCAGACUUAUUGCAAAAUGCCGGUUCUUAACCACUAUCUAUAUUCCUCUUUUCUACUUCUUCCUGGGAAUAUAAAUCC
rnacentral:lncRNA from 10 species